rnacentral:rRNA from 1 species
AUAUUAAUAAGCGGAGGAAAAGAAACCAACUAGGAUUGCCCUAGUAACGGCGAGUGAAGCGGCAACAGCUCAAAUUUAAAAUCUAGCUCUUUUAGAGUCCGAAUUGUAAUUUGUAGAGGGUGUUUCGGCGUAGACUAUAGUCUAAGUACCUGGAAUAGCAUGUUAGAGAGGGUGAGAACCCUAUCUUUAGCUAGUAGUUUGCGCUAUGUGAAACCCCUUUAACGAGUCGAGUUGUUUAGGAAUAUAGCUCUAAAUAGGAGGUAAAUUUCUUCUAAAGCUAAAUACUAGCUAGAGACCGAUAGCGCACAAGUA